rnacentral:rRNA from 1 species
UGGGGAAUUUUGGACAAUGGACGCAAGUCUGAUCCAGCCAUGCCGCGUGCGGGAAGAAGGCCUUCGGGUUGUAAACCGCUUUUGUCAGGGAAGAAACGAGUUUCUCUAAUACAGAGACUUAAUGACGGUACCUGAAGAAUAAGCACCGGCUAACUACGUGCCAGCAGCCGCGGUAAUACGUAGGGUGCAAGCGUUAAUCGGAAUUACUGGGCGUAAAGCGUGCGCAGGCGGUUAUGUAAGACAGAUGUGAAAUCCCCGGGCUCAACCUGGGACCUGCAUUUGUGACUGCAUAGCUAGAGUACGGCAGAGGGGGAUGGAAUUCCGCGUGUAGCAGUGAAAUGCGUAGGUAUGCGGAGGAACACCGAUGGCGAAGGCAAUCCCCUGGGCCUGUACUGACGCUCAUGCACGAAAGCGUGGGGAGCGAACA